AGGCAAGAAGCGAUAAUGGCAAAGAGAAAAGUCGGUGUAUCCAAAACAACAACAUCAACCGCAAUGAAUCCCAAGACCUUGACCUUCACCUUGGCCCUGACCCUGGUAGCCUUGACCUCCAUGACCUGGGCCCAGGAGGAGCUGGAGGUUCCCAGUGAAGAGAAGGCAGAGGAGGGGGUGCGUGAGGCCUUGCCUGUACCCAACAAGAACUUCCAGGAGCAAGAUCGCCGUGAUCUCGAUAUUGCAAAGCGAGGAUGGUUCACGAAAAUGUUAAAAAAAUGUCAGGAAAGUCGUUACAAAGGCGAAGCCCUACAUUAGUCUCGCUGAGCAGAUCGCAAGGCGGCAAACGAGAAAUUAUGGAGGUAGGUUUGCUAAUAGGGUAAAGGCCAGUAGAGCGCGGAGGGGGGUGGGGUAUCGUUGUGUUUGCUUAUCUUGUAUGUGUCGUUAUUUUAGUGAUUGUUUGUGGUGUGAUAUUCCAUAAUAUAUAUAAUAAUACAGUAUGGUGAAUACAUACUGCCCCUGUUGUUGCCAGAGUGGGCCCCAGUCAUAACAGUUUGGAUAUAACAGGAUUCCAGGCUAAUAAUAAAUCCCGGACUCCGAUCUCUUAUAUUGCCCAGAAAGAAAAAAGUUCUAGGGCACUCGGACAGACAUGCUCGGCUAUAACAG